rnacentral:rRNA from 1 species
AUUGAACGCUGGCGGCAGGCCUAACACAUGCAAGUCGAGCGGAUGAAGGGAGCUUGCUCCUGGAUUCAGCGGCGGACGGGUGAGUAAUGCCUAGGAAUCUGCCUGGUAGUGGGGGAUAACGUCCGGAAACGGGCGCUAAUACCGCAUACGUCCUGAAGGAGAAAGUGGGGGAUCUUCGGACCUCACGCUAUCAGAUGAGCCUAGGUCGGAUUAGCUAGUUGGUGGGGUAAAGGCCUACCAAGGCGACGAUCCGUAACUGGUCUGAGAGGAUGAUCAGUCACACUGGAACUGAGACACGGUCCAGACUCCUACGGGAGGCAGCAGUGGGGAAUAUUGGACAAUGGGCGAAAGCCUGAUCCAGCCAUGCCGCGUGUGUGAAGAAGGUCUUCGGAUUGUAAAGCACUUUAAGUUGGGAGGAAGGGCAGUAAGUUAAUACCUUGCUGUUUUGACGUUACCAACAGAAUAAGCACCGGCUAACUUCGUGC